rnacentral:rRNA from 1 species
CCCUUAGAUGUUCUGGGCUGCACGCGCGCUACACUGAAGCGUUCAACGAGUAUUCACCUUGCCCGGGAGGGUUGGGUAAUCUUUUGAAAACGCUUCGUGAUGGGGAUAGAUUAUUGCAAUUAUUAAUCUUCAACGAGGAAUUCCUAGUAAGCGCGAGUCAUCAGCUCGUGCUGAUUACGUCCCUGCCCUUUGUACACACCGCCCGUCGCCCCUACCGAUUGAGUGAUCCGGUGAAUAAUUCGGACUGCAGCACUGCUUGGUCUCCAGGCUUUGCAGCGGAAAGUUUAGUGAACCUUAUCACUUAGAGGAAGGAGAAGUCGUANCA